rnacentral:rRNA from 1 species
UACGGGGGGGGGCAAGCGUUGUUCGGAAUUACUGGGCGUAAAGGGCUCGUAGGCGGCCAACUAAGUCAGACGUGAAAUCCCUCGGCUUAACCGGGGAACUGCGUCUGAUACUGGAUGGCUAGAGGUUGGGAGAGGGAUGCGGAAUUCCAGGUGUAGCGGUGAAAUGCGUAGAUAUCUGGAGGAACACCGGUGGCAGGAGGCGAUCCUGGACCAAUUCUGACGCUGAGGAGCGAAAGCCAGGGGGAGCAAACGGG